CAGCCGCCGCGGGAAUGCGUAGGUGGCAAGCGUUGUCCGGAAUUAUUGGGCGUAAAGGGCUCGCAGGCGGUUUCUUAAGUCUGAUGUGAAAGCCCCCGGCUCAACCGGGGAGGGUCAUUGGAAACUGGGAAACUUGAGUGCAGAAGAGGAGAGUGGAAUUCCACGUGUAGCGGUGAAAUGCGUAGAGAUGUGGAGGAACACCAGUGGCGAAGGCGACUCUCUGGUCUGUAACUGACGCUGAGGAGCGAAAGCGUGGGGAGCGAACAGGAUUAGAUACCCGCGUAGUCCCUGUCUCUUAUAC
rnacentral:rRNA from 1 species